rnacentral:tRNA from 1 species
AGGGUUAUAAUUUAUAUAAAAAUAUUUAACUUGCACUUAAAAAAAGUUACUAAACUUACCUUA